rnacentral:rRNA from 1 species
GACGAACGCUGGCGGCGUGCCUAAUACAUGCAAGUAGAACGCUGAAGGAGGAGCUUGCUUCCCUGGAUGAUUUGCGAACGGGUGAGUAACGCGUAGGUAACCUGCCUGUUAGCGGGGGAUAACUAUUGGAAACGAUAGCUAAUACCGCAUAAUAGUAGAUGUUGCAUGACAUUUACUUAAAAGGUGCAAUUGCAUCACUACCAGAUGGUGCAUCGUUGUAUUAGCUAGUUGGUGGGGUAACGGCGCACCAAGGCGACGAUACAUAGCAGACCUGAGAGGGUGAUUCGCCAAACUGGGACCGAGACACGGCCCAGACUCCUACGGGAGGCAGCAGUAGGGAAUCUUCGGGAAUGGACGGAAGGCUGACCGAGCAACGCCGCGGGAGUGAAGAAGGUUUUCGGAUCGGAAAGCUCUGUUGUAAGAGAAGAAAGAGUGGGAGAGUGGAAAGUUCACACUGUGACGGUAUCUUACCAGAAAGGGACGGCUAACUACGUG